CCGCUCAGAAACUUAAAGGAAGUUGACGGGACCCGCACAAGCAGCGGAGCAUGUGGUUUAAUUCGAAGCAACGCGAAGAACCUUACCAGAUCUUGACAUCCAAUUGACCAUCUUUUAAUCGAGAUUUUGCCUUCGGGUACAAUUGAGACAGGUGGUGCAUGGUUGUCGUCAGCUCGUGUCGUGAGAUGUUGGGUUAAGUCCCGCAACGGGCGCAACCCUUGUGUUUAGUUGCAAACAGGUCAAGCUGUGCACUCUAGACAGACUGCCGUGGACAACACGGAGGAAGGUGGGGAUGACGUCAAAUCAUCAUGCCCCUUAUGAUCUGGGCUACACACGUGCUACAAUGGCCGGUACAACGGGCAGCGAAGGAGCGAUCCGGAGCGAAUCCUAAAAAGCCGGUCCCAGUUCGGAUUGCAGGCUGAAACUCGCCUACAUGAAGUUGGAGUUGCUAGUAAUCGCGAAUCAGAAUGUCGCGGUGAAUGCGUUCCCGGGUCUU
rnacentral:rRNA from 1 species